CCUACGGGUGGCAGCAGUGAGGAAUAUUGGUCAAUGGGCGGGAGCCUGAACCAGCAAAGCCGCGUGAGGGAAGACGGUCCUAUGGAUUGUAAACCCUUUUAGGCGGGGAGCAAUGCCGGGCACGUGUGCCCGGAGGGAGAGUACCCGCAGAAUAAGCAUCGGCUAACUCCGUGCCAGCAGCCGCGGUAAUACGGAGGAUGCGAGCGUUAUCCGGAUUUAUUGGGUUUAAGGGGCGCGUAGGCGGAUUUUUAAGUCAGCGGUAAAAUGUGCGGGCUAAACCCGGGUCGGCCGUUGAAACUGGGGAUCUAGAGUGGGCGAGAGGUAUGCGGAAUGCGUGGUGUAGCGGUGAAAUGCAUAGAUAUCACGCAGAACUCCGAUUGCGAAGGCAGCAUACCGGCGCCCGACUGACGCUGAGGCACGAAAGCGUGGGGAUCGAACAGGAUUAGAUACCCCUGUAGUC
rnacentral:rRNA from 1 species